GGUCACGUGGCCCAAUGGCAAGGCGUCUGACUACGAAUCAGAAGAUCGCAGGUUCGAAUCCUGCCGUGAUCA